UACGAAGGGGGCUAGCGUUGUUCGGAUUCAUUGGGCGUAAAGGGUGCGUAGGCGGCGCGGUAAGUCGGGUGUGAAAUCUCGGAGCUUAACUCCGAAACUGCAUUCGAUACUGCCGUGCUUGAGGACUGGAGAGGAGACUGGAAUUUAAGGUGUAGCGGUGAAAUGCGUAGAUAUCGUAAGGAAGACCAGUGGCGAAGGCGGGUCUCUGGACAGUUCCUGACGCUGAGGCACGAAGGCCAGGGGAGCAAACGGG
rnacentral:rRNA from 1 species